AGUGAACGCUGGCGGCAGGCCUAACACAUGCAAGUCGAACGGCAGCACAAGAGCGCUUGCUCUCUGGGUGGCGAGUGGCGGACGGGUGAGGAAUGCAUCGGAAUCUGCCCAUUUGUGGGGGAUAACCUCGGGAAACCGGGACUAAUACCGCAUACGACCUACGGGUGAAAGCAGGGGAUCUUCGGACCUUGCGCAGAUGGAUGAGCCGAUGCCGGAUUAGCUAGUUGGAGGGGUAAAGGCCCACCAAGGCGACGAUCCGUAGCUGGUCUGAGAGGAUGAUCAGCCACACUGGGACUGCGACACGGCCCAGACUCCUACGGGAGGCAGCAGUGGGGAAUAUUGGACAAUGGGCGCAAGCCUGAUCCAGCCAUGCCGCGUGUGUGAAGAAGGCCUUCGGGUUGUAAAGCACUUUUGUUGGGAAAGAAAAGCAGCCGGUUAAUACCCGGUUGUCAUGACGGUACCCAAAGAAUAAGCACCGGCUAACUUCGUG
rnacentral:rRNA from 1 species